rnacentral:lncRNA from 10 species
GCGCGAGCGCAGCGGUGGGAGGCGGCGACCAGCCGGUUGAGGCCCCAGGCUUGGCCUCACCACAAUGUGGCACGAGGCUCGGAAGCAUGAGCGGAAGCUUCGAGGCAUGAUGGUCGACUACAAGAAGAGGGCGGAGCGGAGACGGGAGUAUUAUGAAAAGAUCGUGAGUAACUGGCCUUUUGUCUGGGGUGAGGGACCCUGGGUUGGGGGGCACAGCUGGUCAUCCUGGUAAAAUCUGGGCUUGGAAGUAUGUCAAGACAAGAGGCUCAUUUCCUCAGGAGUAUAUUCAUUAAUCUUUUCUUGAGGAUAAUCAUUGGUGGGAUCCCAAGGGCUUCUGUUUGUUGUAGCAUACUGUGUCGUUUGGUGUGGCCUCCCAGUGCCGAUCCGGUGUUAGCAAGAAAAAGGGAAGUCUCUGUAACCCUCAGAGCAGUCCUGACGUUAGACUGGCCACCUCCAGAAUGUCUGUUUCGCUUAUUGCUGUGUUCCCCAUUCCCAGAAGAGCUCAGCCACUCUUGAGAUUUGGCUUGGCACACAAUAGGAGUGAGUAUUAAGUUGGCCUGGCACAGUGGCUCACGCCUGUAAUCCCAAGUGGAUCACCU